rnacentral:rRNA from 3 species
ACUCCUACGGGAGGCAGCAGUAGGGAAUCUUCCACAAUGGACGAAAGUCUGAUGGAGCAACGCCGCGUGAGCGAUGAAGGCCUUCGGGUCGUAAAGCUCUGUUGUUAGGGAAGAACAAGUACCGGAGUAACUGCCGGUACCUUGACGGUACCUAACCAGAAAGCCACGGCUAACUACGUGCCAGCAGCCGCGGUAAU